UCCACCUACAAAGCAGACCAAUCACAGCUGUUGUGGUCAGUGUAGACGUGACACCAGUUACUGCUUCUGACCAGAUCAGGCAAACAGUGAAGGACUUCAGUUACUGUGCAAGAUGAGAGGUUCACUGUUACUGCUUAGUGCUCUGUUACUGCUGGAGUCCACAGACGGAAAUGAAAGAAUAUCAACUAGGCCAACCUGAGACAAACAAUAUUAUUGACAACAAAAGAAGCCAAUGAGAGACAUGGAAAAGCCAAACACCUUGAUUUUGACUCCAUUUUAAGUUCUAAUUAUGACAAGUGCAUGCUUAAUGUGUUAUUAAAACCCACCACAUGUGACAGGACAGAACCGUUUGUCCAUCGGAAAGACUGUAAAAUCCAAAAUAAGGCUACAGCGCGUCCAGUAUCCGGAGAUGAUGAGAGUCAGCAAUGUCAACUUCAUCUUCGCAGCCGACACCAAUUCAGAAAACAUUACUUCAUUAAUAAACAAUUAAAACGUCUCCUUGCUGUUUUGGUCACAUUCACAAUUAUUACUUUUGCCGGGUUUUUAUGGCAAGCUGUAUGCAUGCGCCUGAGUGAUAUAUAGCCUAUAUUACAUAAACGCUUAUUUAUUAUGGUUUACUCUCCAGUAUUUAAGAAAUUAAAUUAAUAUAAAUGUGAUUAGUCAACUAAUGGCUUAAAUUAAUAACUACUAGUCGAAAAGAAACACUUUUCUCACAUAUAGGUAUCCUGCAUGUCACAAAGGGUAUUUUGGUUUGAGCUCGCGCUCAGCUCGCAUGCUCACAGAUACACACACACAGAGCAUUGUUUAUUAUUAUCAGUUUAAAAUUAUAUUUGUGUAUGGCUAACCGCAGCACACACCAGAGAAAAA